GAGGGCACUGGUGGCCUUGCUACUCUGUGCCACUUGCCCUGAUGAUACCCUCUCUUCACCUGAAAUUAAAUUACUGUCUUAAAAGAGAAGCAAGCUCCAAAGGGUAUGAGGCUGCAGGCAGCCGGCCAGGAGUUCAAUUAUCUGAACCACAGGCCAGCCUCGUACCUCUUCAGAUUAUUGCCUCCUGCCCGCUCGGGCUCUGCAGACCACAGGGACACCUGCCUUUCCUCCACCCACUUCCUGGGCACGUGGAAAUGUACUUUGGGUUCCUGACCUCAGUUCUUCCCAAGGUCUCCUUGGAGAUGGAUGGGCCUAAGUGACUGCAGUCCACUUGAUUAUAUAUAUCUGCUUCUAGCUACACUGGGGCUUGCUCUGACGUGGUGCUGGUGGGCGACCGUGCGGGGUCCUCAGCGUGGCGGUGUCAGAACUGCCGGGCACGCCGGCAGGAAGAGCAGGUACCUGGCGGGGGAUGCGUCCGUGGUACCAGGCGUGGCUACGCAGGUCCUCGCCGCUCAGCAGCAGCUCCUCCUCCAGCUCCUUCUUCAGCCUCUCAGGGGUCCUGUCCAUGACGUGCCUGUCCUUGGAGAACUGCAACACAGGGUCUGUGGUGACUUCCCAGCCUGCCCGGGACAGCCGGCCCGCCCGCCUUGCAGUUGGCCGCUUGGCUAAUCAAGCCAGGAUACGCCAGAAGCCGGAUUCAGGUUGGAAAUUGAUACUUAAAAAAACUGGUCUUUCACCUCUGAUAGCUUGAGAAUCACUGAUCUAGGUCACCGCACAGGAGCCGGCGCAGGAGUCCGGGUGGGCAGCACUGCCUCCAGAUGUAAUCUAGAAUCCACGCCCACUUACUUGGGAACUGAACUUGGACACCUGCCUGGUUCCCAGCAAAACCAGGCUCAGGGAUCACUGGCUGAAGGUCACGGGAGCAGGAAAACACUGUGGCCUUGUGUUUUCCCAGGUUCCCCAACUUGGCCUCAAAAGCCUCUAGAAAUCACCGAACUAUCCUCAUCACGCUGCUCUGUGCCUCAGCAGGAGAAGAGGCCCAAAUCCUUCUCCACCCAAGGAACAGGAAACAGACUUGGGAUUUGACAGCCCUCAAGCCUUUGAGGGCACGUUGGCUCAGGAGGGUGCUGGCUGCAGCAGGACCCACGGCCACUCUCCACGUAGCGCUCUGGUGGACCAGUGGCUUACUUCUCCCCUCCGCUUCGCACCACCCUCCUCCUCACAGAGCAGACACCUGCAUCACAGAGACGCCCAGCCGCUGCCCUAGCUGCCCACAGGCAUUAGCAGCCCUGUUGGACAUUGAUCAUUAAUUAUGUACAGGUACAGCUGAAGACAGCUCACUGGAAAGACUUGAGCGCAGAAUGCAGAUUGUCAACCAGGCCACAUUUGCUGAUAACUGAUGGUCUGUCUUGCCUCCCACUAGAUUUUGACAGUCACGAGAGUAGAAACCCUUCUUCCCUACUGCCCUCCAGCAAUGCCUGAACAUUUUAGGCUCUCCGCACUCACUGAAUGAACCAGUACCCAAAGAUGAGGCCUCUCUAGAGCUUUUCCUCUUCAAUCUCAAACUAUCUGAAGCCUCAUUUUAGCUGAGCGUGUUGCCACACAACUAAAGGAUGGCAUUCCUCAACUUUCCUCUCUUAAUGUUGUCAUGGGGCCAUAUGACUACUUCUGGCCAAGGAAAGGUACACUCCUGCUUAGCUGGACGUCUAAGCUGAGAUGUGAUGGUGCCAUCUUGGACACGAGGAGGGAGCCACAUCCUCCAAAUAGGCCCAGAUCCCUCACAACUGGGGAGUCAACACAUCAGUCCCAGAUCAUCCACCUUCAGGUCUUCCGUGUGAUUUUCUGUCUUGUUUAAGCCUAUAUUUUGAUUGUCCCUGUUACUGGCAGCUGAACUGAAAUACUAAUCAAUACUGUGAGCCUAGCUUCUACUCAGCCACCCUGACAAUCUGAGUCCCUUGUGCUAUGUCCUGGGCCCACUUCUUGGCCUGAGCUCUGAAAAUGGAGUCAUCCGUAGUCAUACCCCGUGUAGACCUCCACUGAAACUACAGUCACCCACAUCCAAAAAGCUGUUCCCCUCUUUCUCCCUGAUGCCCAACACCCAGGCCGCUUCCCACCGUCACCCCUUCUUUCUAGGCAUCUUUUACAAAUAGCAAGAUUUCUUAGCAUUUUAUAAACAACAAUCCUUCACUCCAGAUUUUGAGAUAAUACUGCUUUACACUUGUUACCAGAAAUAUAAAAUCUGCUAUCUUGUUACUUCUGCCCUAACUCCUUAGAGGGAAAUCCACAAUUCUUGUUCUCCCCCUACUGUGGACUGUGGAGAUGAGGCAUGAUGGGGCACAGCAGGAAAGUACCGAGGCAGGAGAGAAAAGGAGGGGUCAGUAAGAUUGACCCUCCCUUGAGAUGGGAACUCAGACUUCAAAAACUAUGCCCUUAGGCUCUUGCAUAAUUUGUACAAAGUUAAGAGGUUACACAAUUGACUGGAUUUAGAGUUGGGGCAGGGGAGGAGGAGGGAGAUAAAGGGCGGAGGAGGAGAGGGAGAGAGACAGAUCCCCAUCGAGCAAGCAAUUGCAAGGGUUCUUCAGAACCAGUGAGAGCUGGUUCUACUAUAUUAAAAAGAACCAGGUUGGGGACGCCUGGCUGGCUCAGUGGCAUCUGCCUUUGGCUCAGGGCAUGAUCCCAGGGUCCUGGGAUGGAGCCCCAUAUCAGGGGAGCCUGCUUCUCUCCCUGACUCUGUCUCUACCUCCCUCUCUGCGUCUCUCAUGAAUAAAUAAAUAAAAUCUUAAAAAAAAAAAAAAAGAACCAGGUUGGAUUGUGGGAGCCUCUCCUCAGCAGAUGAUGUGGGCAACAUCUCUCAUACAGCCGAACAAGGCAAUUCAAAAGUCCCCCACGUACGGUCGCCCUCAUGAUUAAAUUGUAGUUAUAUGGGGGGUGAAUGCCCUCUAGAACUUUUAAUCACAUACAUUAAUGCAACUUUUAUUAUUUUUCUGAAGUACCUGUAUUUUAUGAUCCUUGACCUUGCCAACUACACGUGGCACAUAUAUUGUGCUACUAAUAGGAGUACCUUGAUGGGCUGUCAACCUCAUGGUGGAUAAGGGAUGACCAUAUAGGAAAAUUGGCAAAAUGUAUCCACUUGUAUCUUUUUUUUUUUUUAAAGAUUUUAUUUAUUUAUUUAAGAGAGAGACACAGAGAGAGGCAGGGAGCAGGGAGGCAGGUUGCUUGGGGGGAGCCUGAUGCAGGGCUCAAUCCCACGACCCCAAGAUCACGACCUGAGCCAAAGGCAGACAUUCAACCACUGGGCUACUCAGGUGCCCCUAUCCACGUGUAUCUUUGAGAGCACUAUGAUCGAUACUUGUGCUCCUCUGGGAACCAAGAAUGACGUUGCUGCUUCACAGGAUAGGUCACAUGUGACUGUGACAUUGCCAGAAUUCUGUCCACUUGCUCCCAACAACCAGAACUUGUGCUAACAAGGCACCCUUCCACUUACCUGCUGCCAUCUGGGACAAAUAUGAAUUUCUCCCUGAAGUGCAGCCAUUUCAGUCAUGGCCACCCUGAGCUAAUUUUGGGGUCUUUGGGACCACAAAAUAAAUUCCAGCAAUUCAGGGUAACAUAUCAGGAUCUCUGCCCUUAGCAAUGGCUUUCUCCCAUCGGUGUGGUCACCAGUGUCCUUUGAAGUUCUGAUUCCACUAAUGCCCUAAGAAGCCUCCAGGCCUUCCUUAGAUUGCCUUCUGAGGGAAGAGUACAAGAAGUAAGUCUCUACUCCCACAGUCACAUGCAUUGUUAUCUUAUACCUGGCUCAGAAUUAUGCAGGAGAAGAGACUAAAGAAUAAGUAUAGGUCCCAGCAUUCCAGUGGCUUCCAAUCCCAGGAGAGGAAAAGGUACAGAAGCACCUCAGACAUCUUAUGAAUUCAAAGGCUGUCUGGACCCAAGUCAUUCUCAUUUUUCUGUCAACACGGGACAAAGGGCGUCUGUGACAGAGGGCAUGGUGACACCCCAGAGCAAGUACAAUAUAGCUGGGCUCUCUCAGAAAGUUUUCACGUUUUGUGUGCUUCAACUACCAGAAAGACAGGCAGCAAGAAAAUUCAUGCAUAAUCAACAUCUCACACAGAUGCUAUGGCAAGUCCAAUUCUUUGUUUCCUGAGCUUCUUAUCUUGAAGAGAGGAGGUGGCAGCAGGUAGGCCUGAGCCAGAGUCAAGUUCCUCCGCACCAACGCAGGCUCCGGAUCCUGCCAUCCUGAGCUCCACCCCACACAGUAGCUGGGGUGCACCCUCGGGAAAGAGGAGCUGCUAGGCUUUAGGAUCAAGAAUAUUCUGCCUAUGAGCUUUGCCAGGUUCACUCAAGCGGCCAAAUCCACCCACGGUCACCAUGAGAGAAAGAUGAGGGCAGGCCUCGUGUCUCCUACUCCGAGGCUUGCCCAAAUUGGAUCCACCAGAAAUCUGA